rnacentral:rRNA from 1 species
UACGUAGGCAGCGAGCGUUGUUCGGAGUUACUGGGCGUAAAGGGGGUGUAGGCGGUUCUUUAAGUUGGGCGUGAAAUCUCCCGGCUCAACCGGGAGGGUGCGUCGAAUACUGAGGGACUAGAGUACGGGAGAGGAAAGUGGAAUUCCUGGUGUAGCGGUGAAAUGCGUAGAUAUCAGGAGGAACACCGGUGGUGUAGACGGCUUUCUGGACCGUAACUGACGCUGAGACACGAAAGCGUGGGUAGCAAACAGG